GCCUAACACAUGCAAGUCGAGCGAAUCGAUGGGAGCUUGCUCCCUGAGAUUAGCGGCGGACGGGUGAGUAACACGUGGGCAACCUGCCUAUAAGACUGGGAUAACUUCGGGAAACCGGAGCUAAUACCGGAUACGCUUCUUUUCUCGCAUGAGAGAAGAUGGAAAGACGGUUUACGCUGUCACUUAUAGAUGGGCCCGCGGCGCAUUAGCUAGUUGGUGAGGUAAUGGCUCACCAAGGCGACGAUGCGUAGCCGACCUGAGAGGGUGAUCGGCCACACUGGGACUGAGACACGGCCCAGACUCCUACGGGAGGCAGCAGUAGGGAAUCUUCCGCAAUGGACGAAAGUCUGACGGAGCAACGCCGCGUGAACGAAGAAGGCCUUCGGGUCGUAAAGUUCUGUUGUUAGGGAAGAACAAGUGCCAGAGUAACUGCUGGUACCUUGACGGUACCUAACCAGAAAGCCACGGCUAACUACGUGCCAGCAGCCGCGGUAAUACGUAGGUGGCAAGCGUUGUCCGGAAUUAUUGGGCGUAAAGCGCGCGCAGGUGGUUCCUUAAGUCUGAUGUGAAAGCCCACGGCUCAACCGUGGAGGGUCAUUGGAAACUGGGGAACUUGAGUGCAGAAGAGGAAAGUGGAAUUCCAAGU
rnacentral:rRNA from 1 species